rnacentral:lncRNA from 1 species
CAGCGAUCAAGUUUUCGACAGCUGUUUCUUAUGUUCUAAAUAUUCUAAGUCUUAUCCAAUGAUGUUGUAUAUGUGUUAUCUUUCUUUUCUUGCAUUUCCCAGUUUCUAGCGUGUAUCAAAAUGCACUAUGAUAACAACACCAAUGCUAUUGGUUGUAGGUUACCCUUGCACUAUGAUAACACCACAAAUGGUUGUAAAUUUCCUUUGUUUGAACUUUGCCUCCUCUUGUGGGCUGAUGGUUCUGGUGUCGUUUUGUUGACAACUAGCUUAUGUUAUAUGUCACUUUUGUUUUAAUACUACAUCCAUAUGACAGAAAAAAAACCACCGCCU